rnacentral:rRNA from 1 species
AUGAAUAAUUCUCUUGUAGUAUACCUAAAAAGCCUUCGAACUUUCUGUGCAUUUGCACCCACCAAAUUGUCUUCUUUUGCCAAAUCUGCAUGGCAAUCUAUGAAAUACUCCUGCCAGUUCAUCUGCCAAACUAACCCACUCUUUAUCCAAGUCACCUAUUUCACCUUGAUCUCAUUUGCUGGAUAUGAAGCUCUGAAGGUCCUGAACUCCCAAGAUAAGUCAAAUACUCUGAAAGACUUAGACGUGUUGUUUACUUCUGUCUCUGCAUCAACUGUCUCAAGCAUGGCUACUGUUGAAAUGGAGGAAUUCUCAAGCAAACAACUCUGGGUUUUGGCAAUUUUAAUGCUGAUUGGUAGUGAGGUAUUCACUUCAAUACUUGGUCUUCACUUCAUGAGGGCUAAAUUCAAUACAGAAAAUUCACUCAACACAAGGGACCACAUAUCUCAUGUUGAUAUUGAAUCUAUUAAUGUUACAAACUUUGAUCCCAACACUAGCCAUGGCACAAAAGAUGAAGUGUCAUUUUCCGAACUCCACCUGGCAAACAAACAGCAUGUUGAUCCCAAGACAACUGUGCUUUUAGGUGCUGCAGUGACGGUCUAUCUUCUAAUAACAAACUUAGGGAGCUCCUUAGUUAUUUACCUCUACCUUAAGCUAGUACCAGAUGCACAAGAAGUUCUGAAGAGAAAAGGGAUUGGGCUCUUUCUUUUUUCUGUAUUUACGGCUAUAUCCUCGGUUGCAAACUGCGGCUUCACUCCAGUAAACGAGAAUAUGAUUAUCUUCCAGAAGAACUCCGGUCUGCUAUUGCUAAUUAUUCCUCAGAUGCUAGUAGGAAAUACAUUAUUUGCACCAUGCUUGAGAUUCAUGGUGUGGUCACUCCAGAAGAUUACCGGCAAACAAGAAUGGUCUUUCAUUCUUGAGCAUCCAAAGGCCACCAGAUACAGGCAUCUUAUGAGUACAAGAAAGUCUGCUUAUUUAGUUUUAACUGUUGUGGGCUUCAUCAUUCUGCAAACCAUAUUGUUUUGCUCUUUGGAAUGGAGCUCCGAGGCUAUACAGGAAAUGAGCAGCUAUCAAAAGAUAGUAGGUGCUCUUUUUCAGUCAACCAAUGCGAGGCAUGCUGGUGAAACUAUUGUGGAUCUGUCAAGCAUCUCUUCGGCAAUAAUAGUCCUAUACACCGUCAUGAUGUACCUCCCUGGUUACACUUCACUUUUACCCAAUUAUGACGAUCGGUAUUCUAAGGCCGAGAAGAGAUACAGCAGAAAAGGGCUAUUGGAGGACUGGAUCUUCUCCCAGUUGACUUAUUUGGCUAUCUUUGUCAUGCUAAUUUGCAUCACUGAGCGAGAAGCACUGACCACAGAUCCACUUAAUUUCAAUGUUUUCAGCAUACUGUUUGAAGUCGUCAGUGCAUAUGGAAACGUGGGCUUCUCAAUGGGUUACAGCUGCAAGAGGUUACUGAAACAAGACGUACACUGCAAGGAUGCUUCAUUUGGAUUUGUCGGAAAAUGGAGCGACAAGGGGAAAAUGAUUCUGAUCAUCGUCAUGGUCUUCGGGAGGCUUAAGGCGUACAAUUUGAAGGGCGGAAAAGCAUGGAAGCUUAGAUAG